rnacentral:rRNA from 1 species
GGCGAACGCUGGCGGCGUGCUUAACACAUGCAAGUCGAGCGGUAAGGCCCUUUCGGGGGUACACGAGCGGCGAACGGGUGAGUAACACGUGGGUGACCUGCCCUUAGCUCUGGGAUAAGCCUGGGAAACUGGGUCUAAUACCGGAUAUGACUCCAUGACGCAUGUUGUGGGGUGGAAAGCCUUGUGCGGCUAGGGAUGGGCCCGCGGCCUAUCAGCUUGUUGGUGGGGUGANGGCCUACCAAGGCGACGACGGGUAGCCGGCCUGAGAGGGCGACCGGCCACACUGGGACUGAGACACGGCCCAGACUCCUACGGGAGGCAGCAGUGGGGAAUCUUGCGCAAUGGGCGAAAGCCUGACGCAGCGACGCCGCGU